CACAGCUUUCCUUAAAUGCUUCCAAAAGCUCUGCUUUUUCUCCAGGUUCCAACUGACUGGCAUCCAUCAGGGCGGCCCUCACUAACAGAUGAGCCUCACUAAGAAGGUGGAUGCAGCUCUGGGUCUUUGCAGUCUUGACAAUGCUGCAGAUGCUGCAGGACCCCAGGACAAUCUGCUAAUAUUUCAAAGAAGAGUGAGACAGGGAUAAAUGAUCUAAGGUUUUGCUGUGGUCAUAAACCAAUUCUAACCUUCAGGGUGGUAUCCACGUAUGGGUCUUCCUCACGAGCUGCCGCCGCACUGCACCGCACUGUGAAACACUGCAAGUUGUUGCUAAGGAAGAGGAGAGACACCACUGAGCAAAGCAGAGGCCAAUAACCAACAUGCCCGUACUUUGGAAGAUAUCACAGAGGCGAACAGAGCAACAGUGAGGCUUCUUCACAGUUCACAGUUAAAGGACAUCACUAUGCACAACACGUUGGAAAUGGAGACUAGCUACCUCCAGGAUGUUCACUUAGGAAACACACAACAGCAUUUCUCCUUACACCAGACAACGGGACGAGAAGGCAGCAACCACAAUAUGGAGAGAGACAGAGCAUGAACGGGGGAGGAGCCGAGAGAGAGGGAGACACAGAAUCGGA